rnacentral:tRNA from 1 species
GCCUGGCUGGUUUAGUGGGUAAAGUGUGUGACUCUUGAUCUUGGGGUUGUAAGUUCAAGCCUUAUGUUGGGUA